AGCGAACGCUGGCGGUAGGCCUAACACAUGCGAGUCGAACGGCAGCACAGUAAGAGCUUGCUCUUACGGGUGGCGAGUGGCGGACGGGUGAGGAAUACAUCGGAAUCUACUUUUUCGUGGGGGAUAACGUAGGGAAACUUACGCUAAUACCGCAUACGACCUACGGGUGAAAGCAGGGGAUCUUCGGACCUUGCGCGAUUGAAUGAGCCGAUGUCGGAUUAGCUAGUUGGCGGGGUAAAGGCCCACCAAGGCGACGAUCCGUAGCUGGUCUGAGAGGAUGGUCAGCCACACUGGAACUGAGACACGGUCCAGACUCCUACGGGAGGCAGCAGUGGGGAAUAUUGGACAAUGGGCGCGAGCCUGAUCCAGCCAUACCGCGUGGGUGAAGAAGGCCUUCGGGUUGUAAAGCCCUUUUGUUGGGAAAGAAAAGCAGCAGGUUAAUACCCCGCUGUUCUGACGGUACCCAAAGAAUAAGCACCGGCUAACUUCGUG
rnacentral:rRNA from 1 species